UUCACCUCAGUAGUUCUGCAGAGUGUUCCUUACCGAUGGACUCAAUGACAGGUUAACACUCACCAAGUUUUUGUGCAAACAAAAUGAUCAAUGGGACAAUUUAAUUGGUUAAACCAGUCUAGACCCGUUUUAUGACCAUAAAUCUGGAGAAGACAGGUUACAUCAGGUCCCUAGUCUUAUGUUGAGGCUGAGGUCACAUCAGGUCCCUAGUCUUAUGUUGAGGCUGAGGUUACAUCAGGUCCCUAGUCUUAUGUUGAGGCUGAGGUCACAUCAGGUCCCUAGUCUUAUGUUGAGGCUGAGGUUACAUCAGGUCCCUAGUCUUAUGUUGAGGCUGAGGUUACAUCAGGUCCCUAGUCUUAUGUUGAGGCUGAGGUUACAUCAGGUCCCUAGUCUUAUGUUGAGGUUACAUCAGGUCCCUAGUCUUAUGUUGAGGCUGAGGUUACAUCAGGUCCCUAGUCUUAUGUUGAGGCUGAGGUUACAUCAGGUCCCUAGUCUUAUGUUGAGGCUGAGGUUAUAUCAGGUCCCUAGUCUUAUGUUGAGGCUGAGGUCACAUCAGGUCUCUAGUCUUAUGUUGAGGUUAUAUCAGGUCCCUAGUCUUAUGUUGAGGCUGAGGUUACAUCAGGUCCCUAGUCUUAUGUUGAGGCUGAGGUUACAUCAGGUCCCUAGUCUUAUGUUGAGGCUGAGGUUACAUCAGGUCCCUAGUCUUAUGUUGAGGCUGAGGUUACAUCAGGUCCCUAGUCUUAUGUUGAGGCUGAGGUUACACCAGGUCCCUAGUGGUCUAUCAGACCGCAUACCACAGCUAUGACAAAACAUGUAUUUUUACUGCUCUAAUUACAUUGGUAACCAGUUUAUAACAGCAAUAAGGCACGAGGGGGAUGUGGUAUAUUGGCCAUAUACCACAUCCCCUCGUGCGUUAUUGCUUAAAAGCAAUAUAACAAGAAGAACAACUGAAAGGGAAACAAAGGGUUUAUUGCAAAUGUCCAUUACAUCCUUUUAAAAAUAUAUACCUGUUUCAUGGACACAAUACAGCAACAAUACCCAACGUUUAUCAAAAAAACUAAACAUUACUGCUAACAAGAGUUCUCCCUGUGAAUGAUGUACACAUGGUCCAGGUUGCUUGGUUUCGUUUGGAGUAGUAAUGAGACAAAGUCUUUGGUAAUUAGAAAACACAAAAGUCCAUUGUGGAACUGUGGUAUUCCUCUUCUGGAGAUAGGCACUAGAGCCAUGCCAUUGAUUCAAGUUGAGGUUGGCAUCUGAA